rnacentral:rRNA from 1 species
AACGCGAAGAACCUUACCAGGUCUUGACAUCCAGUAAAACUUGCAGAGAUGCAAGGUGAGCUUGCUCAUACUGAGACAGGUGGUGCAUGGUUGUCGUCAGCUCGUGUCGUGAGAUGUUGGGUUAAGUCCCGCAACGAGCGCAACCCUUAUUUUCAGUUACUAACGCGUAAAGGCGAGGACUCUGAAGAGACUGCCGGGGACAACUCGGAGGAAGGUGGGGACGACGUCAAAUCAUCAUGCCCCUUAUGACCUGGGCUACACACGUGCUACAAUGGCCACCACAGAGAGGUGCGAACCUGUAAGGGGGAGCGGAUCUCAAAAAAGUGGUCCCAGUUCGGAUUGUGGGCUGCAACCCGCCCACAUGAAGUCGGAGUUGCUAGUAAUCGCGGAUCAGCAUGCCGCGGUGAAUACGUUCCCGGGUCUUGUACACACCG